rnacentral:rRNA from 1 species
GACGAACGCUGGCGGCGUGCUUAACACAUGCAAGUCGAACGAAGAGCGAUGGAAGCUUGCUUCUAUCAAUCUUAGUGGCGAACGGGUGAGUAACGCGUAAUCAACCUGCCCUUCAGAGGGGGACAACAGUUGGAAACGACUGCUAAUACCGCAUACGAUCCAAUCUCGGCAUCGGGACUGGAUGAAAGGUGGCCUCUAUUUAUAAGCUAUCACUGAAGGAGGGGAUUGCGUCUGAUUAGCUAGUUUGAGGGGUAACGGCCCACCAAGGCGAUGAUCAGUAGCCGGUCUGGGAGGAUGGACGGCCAAAAUGGGACCGAGAAACGGGCCAGACCCCUAAGGGAGGCAGCAGUGGGGAAUCUUCCGCAAUGGACGAAAGGCUGACGGAGCAACGCCGGGGGAGGGAUGACGGCCUUCGGGUUGGAAAGGUCUGUUAAUCGGGACGAAUGGUCCUUGUGCGAAUAGUGCGAGGAUUUGACGGUACCGGAAUAGAAAGCCACGGCUAACUACGUG